rnacentral:rRNA from 1 species
GACGAACGCUGGCGGCGUGCUUAACACAUGCCAGUCGAACGGUGAAGCGCCUUUCUUUUUGGUGGGUGUGGAUGAGUGGCGAACGGGUGCGUAACACGUGAGUAACCUGCCCCCUUCUUCUGGAUAACCGCAUGAAAGUGUGGCUAAUACGGGAUAUUCUGGGUCUGUCGCAUGAUGGGUCUGGGAAAGAUAUUGUUUCGGUGGGGGAUGUGCUCGCGGCGGAUUAGCUUGUUGGUGGGGUGAUGGCCUACCAAGGCGGUGAUGGGUAGCCGGCCUGAGAGGAGGGUGAGCGACCAUGGGAGGGAGGCGAGGCCGAGACGACUCCGAGAGGCAGCAGUGGGGAAGUUUAGAGAACGGGGGGCGCACGGCUGAAGCGGCGCCGCGGGUGGGGUGAUGGAGGCCGUCUUGUAGAGAACCUCUUUCGCGAGUGAAACGGGCUGGCCUCAUAUGUCGGUGGGUUGACGGUAGCUGGAGAAGAAGCGCCGGCUAACUACGUG